rnacentral:lncRNA from 1 species
CCUUAUUUGAGGAUUCUCCAUAUCAGUGACAAAAUGGAUGUUUGAAAAUAUUUUGAUAACCUAAAGUUUAAGAUUAUCUAUGCUGGCUAAGACCUAGCACUUCUGUUGAACAAAGAGGAGUUUCAUCAUUCCUUUGUUUUUCCCAAGGAAAUAAAUGUAAUGGAAAUUUAGGGCUUCCUUUAAUCAUUGAAUAAACUGAUGUUGUCAAGCUAGUUAUAGGGCAAAAUUCCAAUAUACCCACAGGAUUGUAUUCUUCAAAGGACUAUGUACAAAAACAUUUUUAUAUGUGAAAUGCUUCUCUUUUGAUGUAGAGGUAUUCUCAUUGGAGGCUUUACAAAUUUUAAUUUAAUGAUUCUUCUCUACUAAGGAAUAGAAAGGAAGAUAGAAGAAAUAUAGUCACCAGACUUUUUCUCAAGACUUUAUCAUUGGUUUUUCUGAAGAGAACAUAGUUCUACUCCAGUUUAAUCUUUCCAAACCAUUUAAGACAAAUUGUUUCAGACAUUAAUACAUUAUCCUAAGCAUGUCAUACAAAAAAUUGUUAGAAAAUGCCCUCUCAUUAUUUUAAAAAUGCUAAAUUGUCUUAGGGCUGUGGAAUGUUACUAGAAUUACUACCAAGUAGGCAGAUCUAAUAGUUUAAACAUCUCUCUAACCUUGAAAAUGUCAUAAUUUUUUUUUUGUAUAAUUGAGCACUGGGUCACAAAUCUUCAUCUUGGAAUUCUAUCUUAUCUGUUGUUACCAUAAGCUAAUGGUGAGCUGAUUUCCUCACUGGGGGUGAAAAUGAGAACAUUUCCCACAACAUGGUACAGAAUCAUUAGGGCCGUUACAUUCUCGAAUGGGCCAGUGGGGUGGCCUUUCUCAUGAACAUGUUUCUCCCCACGUAAACUUUCCACUUAGCCACUUCAUACCCUGCCACCAACUCUUUCUGUGCAAAUAAAUUCUAGUCUAACAUGGUUAGGUAAUUUUUGAGCAAGUAGAUGAAAAAAUCCUACUCUUAUGGCAACUAUGUUUCACAGAUUUCUGAGAUCUCAGAUUUGGUCUGUGGAUAAGAGAAACACUUAGAAAUGUAAAAAGAAAUCCAAAUGUAGAAAAACUUAAAAAAGCAAUAAUAAGAAAUAGAAUGAGUUAGUUAUCAAAGGUGAUAAAAUCUUGGCUUUAUAUUAACCGAUAAUCUCUAUGUAUAUUACAUUCAUCAUGUAAAAAAGUAAAAAAGUACUAAAGCUGAACUUUCAUGCUUUACAAUGAUUAAACUGAAAUUGGAGCUUUUUUGUUCUCUCCAGUUAUCUAAAACAAAGAUGUUAGUAAAAAGUCAUUUGACUGUUGGCACUGAAUUAGUAUGAUUUUGAAGACCUUUAGGAAACUGUUCAAAGAAGAUAUGACAAAAACUGAAACAAAUUUUCUAAAUAUUCCUCCGAGUAAAAGAAAAAAGUAUCCGAAAAGAACGGAGAACCCUAUCUUCGUUUCUCUCGAGAACGUGUAGGAAAGGCUGGCGAUGGGUGGACCGGACGGAGGAAAAGAUGCCACGGGACUGUGGCAGAGGCGUCCGGGAGCCCCUGGACUUUCAGGAGGGCGUGAGGCAGAGCUUCCUGGGGACGCGCGUCUUCAGUAAUCGAGCUUUGAUGGCACGUGCAUACCCUCUGUCCUCAGGCCGGCAUGGCCAUCCCAAAGACUUCUGGUCCCAAAAGAGCCGCAGCCUCUGUCACUUCCAAAAGCACCCAGAUGAACGCUCGCUGGGAUCCAGUUUAUUAAACAAGAAAGUCUGCUAUUCUGGGUGUUCGCCUCUGUAAACCGCUUUCCUACGUGGUCACAUGAGAGACGGUGCGGCAUGCCUAGCCAUUCUUCUUCUCGCGGCUUCACUGGCAAGGGCAGCCCAAGGAAAACUGGCAGCAGCCAUCGGCUCAGCCCCUUGGCAUUUCACCCAAGGCCAUAACACCAGAAGCUGUAGAUCUGCAACGCCCUCAAAAUAUCAGACCAACCGUGUGUGUGCUCUCCGCCAACUUAUCUCUUUUUGGCAAUAAGCCAUGGUGUAACCCCCUUGAGACGACAAAAGGAAUAAGCUCAGAUGAGCCUGCAGGGGGUGGUCAGGCAGCAUGCAACCAUCUGGGUUUGCACAGCAAGCAGGUUGGGCGCACACGCAUGCUUUCUUUAGUCAGAUUCAGUGGUGCCAAUGCUAGGAGGGAAGGUGAGUGGAGGUGACAACAGACAAAUCAGUCGGAAUAGUACACAUUCGUAGCCUUGAGUCCAUAUUUGGUCACAAUUUCAUGUAAGCGAUUUCAUGGAGCUUUUAGCCCAUGCAAUGCUCAAAGUAAGAAAAUAGCAAGAACAUUCACUGUCUAUCACUGAAGUCCGUAUAAAUACAUAUCCUCAUGUAAGGGACACUGGUCUAUAUUCUUUGCAGGCUUCUCACUGGUUCCCUAAAUUGCCCAAUUUCGGAUGCAAGUGGAGAAAUGAUGCGUGUGUACUAUAGCACACAGGAAGAAGCAGCUCUAUGUAAACAUAGCUCAGACUUGUAAAAUCUGCAGUUCGGUUUUCAACUAUAAAUAUAGAAAGUGGACCAUAAUAUAUACAACUUCAUGCUUGGAAAGUUAAUUCAUCACUGCAGAAAACAGACAACAAAAAAGACAAAUAUACAGAAUUAGUAUGUAGUGUUGGACAAUUCCAAAUUAACAUGAAUUUUGAGAAAGUUGGUAGAACCUUCAAUAGAGGCUUUUAUCAAUGAAGUAAUGGAGCACUUGCUGUAUGCAUCAUAUCUUACUUUUUAUUGAGAUGAGGGCUUUGCUCAGUUGCCCGGGCUGGCCUCAGCCUCCUAGGUAGCUGGUGUGUACUACCUACCCCCAGCUCCAUAUCUUACUUUUCUGAAUUCCUGGAUGUCAUGACAAUUUUUAUCCUAAGUUUAGCUGAUUCUUUCUUUGCCACUAAGAAUUUUGUAAUAAGUGCUUGCUUCAGUAACUUUGCUGGGAAAGCAGAAAAUUAGGAUUUUUAUCACAUAUAGAAUGAUACGUUUUAUGGAAAACUGAGUAUAUAGAAGAGAGACUUCUGACUUCCUAACAUAGUCAGUAUCGCAGUGAGGCUUGCUGUCUCACCUGCUGCUGGCUCCACUGUCAAGCUCUUUCAAAGAGGAGGAGGCGGAAACCACAGCGCGCCUACACUCUGAGCACCGCCCAGAGGCCAGGUGGAGCCAGCCUUUCCCAUCUCCCUGCAGGGAGGGUGCCGAUCAUGAGGCUGAAAGCACUGUCCUAUCAGAUGCCAAGUCAGAGGGCAGGUGGUGGUCAGGGCGCUGGGUGAUAUUAUAGGUCCUGUGUCACCCCUCAGGGGUGAGAGGGUGGUUUUCCAGGUGAAGAAGGCUAUGCGAGAGGGCCACAUCCCGAGGGCCACUUGACCUCAGACAUGAUCCAGCUAAUGUCUGCCAGGCUGAAAGUGGAGUGUGGGAAGCCACUAAAUAAGUGAUGCUGUGGGGAGAGCGGGUUUUGCUGCCCUGGGCCAAGUAGGGGAAACUAGUUAAGCAGGAGAAUUGGACAGAUUUCCUCACAGGUGGAGUAGCUGGCCUCCAGGGCAACCAAGAGUCUCUUGUUUCUGACACCCUCGUUUGUCACAGUUUUGCCAGUGAAGCACGCCUGUCCAGGAUUACUGAGGGAGCGCUAAGAUGCUGGAGAAGAAUAAUUCCAGUGACCAAAGAGCGUGUCCAUGUCCUCUAGCUCCGUGCCCUCAGUGGGCUUGCUGUCCUUUGGGACGAUGUGCCCAGCAUGGGAUCAGGCUCGUGCCAUCCGCAGAAGACUUGGUGUCCUGGAGCACAGGACACAUGCAAGUCUCUUCUCUGCUUCCCGUUCUGUCGUUGUCCUCCACUGCCCCCCACUGUGCCUCUGAGGUCCGAGACAUACUUGCCCUGGCUCUCGGAAGCUCCUCUGCCUCCUUGAAUUGCUACUUCCUGCCCAGGUUGGAUGACAUGCUAGAUGACCGCUGUAUGAAGGAGCUUACCACACAGCCUUUGCACAAGGAGGGUUUCCAUACAGGACAUGUCCUAUCCUCACUGCGUGCGUACAGUGACUAUGGGCGGCCACACGAAGAGGUCAAAAUGAGCCAAUGUCAUAAAAGAUGUGGAUUUAGUCAGCUUCUCCUAGAUCAGUCAGGACCACUGAAAAAUUUAUAUUUUCUGCUUUCUCAGCUUUUUGGCUCUAUUGACAGAGUUAUACCAUGUAUAAGUAUGUUUGUCAAACCAAUUGAAUAUGAAUAGAAAAAGAAUCACAAUUAAUUGUUUUAAACAGUAGGAAGACAAAGGGCUGACUGAGAGACAAGCAAACCAUUAGCAAGAUGUGCUGCCCUUUUCCAUUGCACACAAAGGGUCAGACAGGUGGAGAAGUACAGUGCUUGCUAAGCGCCGUUUUACUCAUCAGUUUGGGAAGAAAUCGACCGUCAAUAUAUGCAUCAGAAGAUAUCCUAGGGCUGGAACCUUUUGUUUUUUAGUACUGGAGCAGCUUUCAGGAAUGUCAAUUGCAAAAGGUCUGUUGUGAAUGGAAAAGGCCAGGGCAGGAGGAAGAGAGAGGGGCUUUUUUUUAGAAAUUAGUCCAUACCCUACCUUCUGCCAGCAGCCGGGCAUGGGUAAUCCAUCCGGACCCUGUUUCAAAGAGAGAAAAGAGAUUCCUCAGACUCCCUCAGGAGUGACACACUUCACAGCUCACAGCUCACAGGUUUAAGACAUGGAUUUUACUUGUAGGGCGGGUUUGGUCAUAGCUAUCUUUUACCUAAUCAGCAACUCCUAAUAUAUUGCCCAGUGUUAGGUAAAUGAAAAUAAUUCAAAUGUUUUCCAAAGUGAGUAUACACUUUUGAACAUACCUAAAGCACAGAAAAAUCUACAUGUAAUUUUGAAAAAGCCAUUUAUAAAGCAUAGCAAUCUAGUGGUCUGUUCAUAGCUAGAUCUUUAGAAAUCUGUACUGUCUCUUAAUUUCAUUAAAACAUAUUUCACAAUUAUCUUAUUAAAUAAACCAAAAUAACUUUUAUUCGUAGUCACGAAGGAGUGUGACUGAAUUCAUGGUAAUGAUCCUGAAUGAUAAACCAUUUCUAUCUGAAGUGUAUAGCUCUUCACAACCAAUAUUUUUAAUUUUCCUACAUUGAAAGUAGAUAUUGCAAAUAUACUUAGCUGAAAGACAGGCAGCCUAUUUUUACAGGACAGUGUUGGCCACAAAUUCAUCAAUUUUUAAAUUUAAGGUCUUCAGAAGUCAGCUAACAUUCUGAACAAAACAGAGUUGCUAAGUGAUACAAAAUUUUAAUUUAAUAUAAGCAGUCUUCAGAUACAAAUGAUACAAAUGAGAGGAAAAGUUGAUAUAUUAUGAAGGCAUGCUUGUAUUUCCCCCCAGUAGGGUGGUUAUAAAAUGAUUUUUCACCAAUAUGGAGCAAACAAAGUAAGACUGGGACUUCCUAUUGACAUUUUCUAACUACUGCCAGAAUAACAUUUUUUUCUAAAUACAAUCUCUUGAUAGGUUUGAGAAAUAUAGAUUGACCUUUAAAGAAUCAUGCUUGUAAUUGAAGAGCCAUAUAAGAACAUGCAGAUCAAAUAUAACAUAACCAUACAAAAUUGUUUUAUACUUUAGAAACUAAGAAUAUACUUUUUUUUAAAUGUAAAAGACUCUGAAAUAGCCUUAUGUAUUUGGGAAAAAUUGGUAAUGCCAGAUUGGUACAAGGAGAAGGAUCAACCAGUAGAAUUUUAGAUUUUAGUAUGUAUGAGGAGGGAUUUCGAGGUUCAUGCCAGUGGAGAUAAGGGGUGGUGUGUACUUAGGGAAAGUGAGUUUCAGAAGGGGACCAUCAAAUUGAAAAGGUUACGUGAUGAAGAAGAGGGUUUGGGCUGCAGACGAUUAUCUGUGCACUUCAGGGAAGUUUGGUUUCCUUCUCUGUGGUCUCUUCAUGGCAUUCCCUUGAGCUGGUUAACUACUGAUGACAGAAGCUUAAUUCUGUAGGUUUGGCCUUAUUUACUGCCCCAUCAAAGUUUAGUGGAAAAAAAUAUGGGUAUUCCUCUUAGAGAAAAAGAAAAAAAACAACUUGGGGAUAAAUGCAAAAGUUAUGGGCUGCUGGUGCCUUUGCAACAGAUUUUUGUGUACAUUCAAUGUCAUCAUUAAGUGUUUAGUAAACCUAUUAAUAUUCCCAAGAGCACGGAUGCAUUAGUCAUGUCAGUGGUGAGGACAACAUCGGCACGAGUUCUUGUUCACAGACGGUGCGAGCCUGAGCCCGCUCAUGCACAUGCAUGUCGUAUGUUUAGCAUGUAAAGCUUUGCCCGCGGAGAGCUACUUUACACUGACAAUGCAUACGGAGUCAACAAAGGAAGGGCAUGCAGGGUGGUAGGAGAGAGAAAUACUGUACCAAUUGGCAAGGGGCAUCCAGCCCGUCCAAGCCAGGCUGGCCUGGCUCCCCUUUUUCCCCCUUAACGCCACGGAAUCCCUGUUUGUAAAGAUUAACUCAUAAUGUUACUAAUGCAAGAAUUCACGUAGGUACAAGUUCUGCUAAAGAAACAACAAGCACAAUGAAGGCUGGGAGAAGAGCAGCUCAGAAGGGAAGAGGCCUUGAGUGACACGGGGUCUAAGUAACAGCCAGGCCCAGUCUCCGAAGAAGGGCCGGUCUGGCAGCCAUGGGCUUUGCUCUUGGAGGGUGGGGAGCCACUGGCUCCUCUGAGGUAGACCAGUCAGGCUCCAAGGACUCGGAAGCACUGGGAGUUAAAGCACGCUCAGCUGGUGCUGAGACACUGUCGGCCCAGGGGGAUAACCAGAGCCAGGGGCUUCUGAGCACCUCCGGGUCCAUGGCGGCUGCCCCCACAGGAAACCCUGCUGUCGCUGUCCCCCGGCUGCUCUUCUCCCGCCUCAUCCCUGACACGCGACAUCCAGAGACAGUACCACGAGUCAGACAUACCAACGGGCAGGGCGCAUCCAAGCCAGGGGCACCCUGUUCUCCUUUCUCCCCUUUGGGCCCCUUUUUGCCUUUCUUUCCCUUUUCCCCCUGUGGAUGGAUACAAGGGUUUAAUAAAGGGUUUAUUUGGGUGGGAGGAGGGUGGUGAUUCAGGAGCUGGGUGAGCUAAAAUAAGUCUGAAAGGGCAUUUACCACUGUUUUUUUGGAGAAGGCAUGGUAUUGAGCAACAGUGGAUUCCUGGCAGCAGGAUGUGGGAUUUUUGAGACUUUUAGCCAAAAGCAGAUGACUUAAAAAAGGCUGACACAUCACAAAGGCAGACCAAUGGCCCUGCACAAUUGUCGCCAUCACUGAAUCGUGGGUUUGUGCUAUGGGUCUGGCGAGGUUGAUGAGAACCGACGGUAUCAGAACUAGCCAGUGGUGAGAGGGGUUCAGAGGAAUAAGAGACACUUCACCCAAUUUUCAACGUCUGUCACCUUGGUUUUUAAAAAAAUUCUGUAACAGAUGCAAAUUAUAUUGAACCAAAGGAAAAGGAAAGCAUAUUACCAACUUUUCUUUGAAAUGUAUCCAGUCAUAUUACUUUUUGUACCUCUCAUUAAAACUUCAAAGUAUUAAAUAUGCUUUUAACAUUUUUAAAAAUUGAAAGCAAAUAUUUCCCUUAUUAAGUCAGGUAAACAAAUGCUGGAAGUGUGAAUACUUUGCAGCAAUGCCAGUUGGAGAAGGAGACAUUUAUAAACCUUCAGGUCCUCAGUUUACUCCCUCAUUGAUCUCAUGCCUCAAGUUUACAAUGGUAAAUGAGCUUCCAGAUUAUACACAGUGUAAGAAGAGCCAAAAAGAAAAAAAAAAUCUGUUCAAGAGGAAAAGCAGUUUGGACUCAGUAAAAAUGAGGUGGGCGGGAUAAUUACAUGGUAGGAAUGGAGCCAUAGAAUUAGUAUUUCGGAAUCCAGGUGAAGGCUGUGGGAAGUCUGCGUGGGAUCACAGGGGUUGAGGAAUUGAGGAAAGGAGGCAGAAGGAGGAGAAGGAAGGAAUGCACCUCAGCUGUUUCACAUUAACAUAAAAUCUCUGCAUAUUUAUAGGCAGGAAGGGGGGCCAUGCAGAAUACAAAACACGAGAUACAUAUUCAAAUUAGUGUAUUCACUCUGCAAUCAGCAUAGCAGCUACAAUAAAACUGAAUAAUCUCUGAAGCAAAACAACAUGAAUAUUCACAGGCAAAGAGACAUGCAGCACAGAAACAUAGGAGAUAUGAAUUCAGAUUAAUACAUUCAUUCUGACAGCCUGAGCAAAAGCUCCCUGUUUAUCUCCUGUGUGCCAGAAAGAUUGCCUCAGAAGGCUGGAAUCAAAAACACCUGGGUUUCAUGAAUCCUGGAGAAAUGGAGAUUCUGGGGUGGUUUAGUGGAUCACAACUGAAGACAAAGACAUGAAAGUCGCGGUGAAAGGAGAACAGGGAUGAUAGGAAGAUGGGAGGACCAUCAGGAAGUUGAGCCUUCCUUAGCCAGUCCCUUCAGGUCAGGACCGACUGCCUCAGCCUCCUUGGGUGAGCGCUCUCCUCCCCGAGAGUGGUGGACUCCUGCAGUAGGUGUGACGGAGAGCGGGUGUGUUGAGUGCUACUAAUCUAGACUUCACCUUGCUGUGGGAUUGGUGAAUCGACCAGAUUCACAUUGGACAGGACAGAGCUCUCACAGAAAUGCUACUGUGCUAAGCUGUAAAAGUUGUUUUUCCUUAUUUUAGUGGAGUUUUAUGGAAGAGACACCAGAAAGAAGAAUGUAUCAAGGUUGUUAUUAAUCAUUGCUUUGUAAUACUUAAGUGAUUACACAGAGCAACACAAUUCUGGGUAUGAGCACAUAAAAGCUCUUGGUAUUGGCAUUUUUUGGGUUUUUUUGGUACUGGGGAUCGAACUCAGGACCUUGAGCUUACAAGGCAGGCAGCAGAACCACUGAGCUAAAUCCCCGGACCUGUGCUCCUCUUUUUGACACAUUUCAUUUGGUUUUGCUUUCUGACAGCUAUGAGCUUCACUGUUCAAGAGAACUCACCAAGUUUUUUUUUUUUUUUUUUGGUAUCGGGGAUCGAACUCGGGUCCUUGCACUUGUGCAGCAGGCGGUGAAACCACUGAGCUAAAUCCCCGAGCCCAGAAUGCACCAAGUUUUUUUGUGUGUGUGUUUUUUUGGUACCAGGGCUCGAACUCAGGUCCUUGUGCUUGCACAGCAGGCGGUGAAACCACUGAGCUAAAUCCCCGGCUCGGCACCAAGUUUUAAAAACAAUGUGGUGUUACAUAGUACAGGAGGUGAAUUAAUUUGAGAAGUGCAGUGUUUUAAAUUGGAAUUGUGAGGGCACAAUUUCAGCUACUUGAGGAUUUUUGAUAUUCUACUGUAGUGUUGAAUUUUCAUUGGCUUCUUUUGCUUUGUCAAAUAUAAAAUAUUCUGCAAUCAGUUGGGUCACUUCCAAGCAAAGUACACAGAAAAAGCAAAGAGGAAUGGAAAAUUGAUUUUUUAAAAUCCACAAUCAAACACUGAGUCAUGAAACCCCAGUUGGGACUGGGCGCUGUAUGCUGAGAGCUCGGGACCCCGAGAUGGAAGCCAGCAUCUUCCUGAUAAAAACCUACAGCUCCCUCCCCCUGAGUCUGUUGGAGGCAGUCCUCGACCUGGGGCAGUGGACUUAUCUGUCACACCGCUUGUCCUACAUUUUUGAGUAAAAUAAUCCAGAAAUACAACAUCUCUCCUGGGUAUGUUGUUAGGAUGAAUGAGAUGCUUGCUUUCCAGGGUUAGAUGAUCUCCACCCUAAUGCCACUGCAGGUUAGGGUGAAGUAAUAAAUUUUCAAAACCCCCAGACAUUACAUUUUUCAAAGGCUUGGUGUCGGGGAAUGAAAGAUUGCAGUGUGGCUAACUGGGGAUCGGAACUUCCUGUGCUACACUGUGCCCUUAUUUCUAGCGGUGCAGCUUUUGUUGUUUCUCUUUGAAGACCCGAUUCUUUAGGCGGAGAUCUGUGUAUUUUUGGAGCACAGCAUGGAGACAGACAAGGUAUCUGAUGGGUCACACAGUUUGGGCAGCAAAGCAGACAGUGCAGGCAGAAUCACACGAGAUGUGCACGAGGAGGGAGAUGUCACCUUCUCUCCCUUUUCUCCUAGGUCGCCUUUUCUCGCCUCGAGGACCAGGAAGCCCUGAGGGUAAAAAAAGCAAAGCCAAGAGAGCUAUUGGUGUAACUGGCAAAAUCACAUUGUGGAGAAAAGAAACCAUCUUAGAAUUUCACUGAUUUAAACUCAAACAUAAAACAUGAAGAAUUAAGUAAAAUAGCCGUGGAAGUGAGUUUUCUAUCCUCUCCAUUACAUGUAUGCAGCAGAGUUUUCCCCUUUGCUCCUAAGAAAUGCAGAGUGGCAAGAAAAUCCUGGCAAGUUCACUGGUUUGCGUGGGGUUUUACCUCUGUGCUUUAGUUUUGCAAGUGUAAAGUGGGCUAAUGCGUAUCUACCACAUAGCUGUGUGAGUGUCAAAGGAGAUGGCCCAACAUAAAGAGCAACGUAAAAGAUAGGAAGGGAUCUUUCUCAAACGAGGGGGUCGAGAGAUGGAAGGAGGGGAGGGCAUGAGAAAAGGAAUUAAGAUGUGCCCUGUACCUGCACCAACCCCAGGAAGGAAAUCAUCACGUGCUGUGAGAAUGUGCUAAAAAAUACAAAGUGAAGUGCACGAUAAAGUGCCAGGUCCAUGCUUGCCCUAAUAGGUGCUCAGUAAGCAAUAAUGAACACAACUCUUCCACCUUUGUCAUUACCCACAUAGUACACAAUUGGUUUUGAGGGGCAUUUAUUUUUGACAUUACCUAUGUUAGCACGAGAAAAUGUAUAUAGGGACUUAAGAGGAAAAAGUAUUGUGUAACAGUCUUGAGAUAAAUUUAGUAUCUGUUCCUUCAGGCUAGCAUGGGAGAGGUAUGUUGAUCUUAUGCAUAUUUUUUCCACAAGUGGAUUAUGCUGAUGUUGCAUAUCCUAAAUUUGGGGAAGUAUUUUGAAUUGCCAGUAUCCACUGUCAGUUGUCAAUUUUAUACUAAAUGGUAGUAUUUGUCUUUGUGUUUAUCUCAUGCAAGCGCAACUGUAUUUUAUGUUGCCAUCUCCAUGCACAGCAGUAUACGCUCUGUGCAUGGCUACAUGCACAGAAAAACAAGUAUUCCUGCUGUUCGGGGUAGAGACUACCAGAACCUGUUACGAUAGGAAGAUGUUUAUUGUACUCAUUACUUACAUCAAGACCAGGCUCUCCAUCUUUCCCCUGCCAAAGAACCAUAGUAGCUACAUUAGUGUUCCUGAGUUUUAGGAAUGGGGUAUGAUUUCACUUGAGGCUGCUGGCCAUGCAACACUGGGAUUAAAACAACUACUUCAGGAAUGUGAAAAGUAUUCUCUAUCGAUUAGUAACACAAGGGGCUGCAGGUAAGAGUCAUGAAAAUUUUUAUGUCAUACAUUGGUUCAGUAGAGUGGCAAUGGGCUGGAGUGUAACACUUUCUAGUCACGUGAUCAGUUCAAGCAUGAAGUCAUAGGCAGAAACACUGUUUAGUUGAUGUAAAGACGCACCAGCACUGAGAGGAUGUGAACCAGUGCUACUUUAAUAGCUUAGUGGUUAGUUCAUAAAUGUGAAAACUGUUAAUAUUUUAAUUUGACUAGAUGUGCCCCUUCCGUAUAAAUAUGACAGGUGUGAAGGUCCUAACCACUUUUCAGUAAACUUUGUAAAUGUUCGCCAGCCGUGGAUCCCCUCAAAGUCCCCAAGCAGCUGCUCUGAUUCUACCUGAUCUUGACACCUACCUCAAAAUCAGCAUCUGAAGUAACCAUGGCUUAGGGUUAUUAGUUCAGCUCACCUUAAGUAUGUGAAAGGUAAGGGAGGUUAGAAACCUCCCUACAGCACACGUUUCCUUGGGUCCUACCUGCCCUGCUAAAUCAGUCAUCACUGAAGCCAAGGUCUUGUUCCUGAAGUAAACUUGACACCUACCUCAAUUUGGGAAUUGUCAGGUGAUAAAACACUAUCAAUAGUCUAUGGUUUUUUGUUUUGUUUUUGUUUUUGGUACUGGGGAUCAAACUUGAGACCUUGCACUUGCGAGGCAGGAGGCAGAACCACUGAGCUAAAUCCCCACGUUAAAAUCCCCAAACAUGGCAAUAUUCCAUGUUUUGAAGAUCAUUGUCCUCAGAAACACGAAGGCAUGGUAAAUGUAAAUACCCAUUUCACAUGGAGGAUCGUUUUUAGCAGCAAGAGUAGUUUUUCAUAAAUCACCCAUGGGAGCAAAUAAAGCAUGACAAAGGUCACGGACAACACAACCUCCACUCCCACGGGUGGAUACAGUGGGCUCUCCAGGAGGGGCUCAGGGCGGGCACUGACUGACUGCAGGAAGCCUGCUUUCUGGGUGAAGUGGUGUUUGUCCUGCAGCUGGCUCGGGUCCUCAGUCUCGGGAGGUGAUGGGGUGUGCUCAUGGGAGAGGUGGCACACUGAGGGGACCUGGGGUGAGAAGCGCGGGAUUAACUACACUGUGGAGAAUGAGUGGGUCAUCCUCGCCUCUCCAGUGUGAUUAGUCAGGCCCACGAGGGAGGGGUUAACCAUGUCAGUGGCAGGACAGAGGCAUGCUGAAGGCUGUGACCCUUCAGGGACAGGAAACUCACAGGCAGGCCGUAGGGCCCUCUGGGUCCUGGCUCUCCCACAGCUCCUUUUUCUCCCUAAAAUGAAAAGUGGAAAGUCUAAUUCAUACAUGUGCAUCUGUGAAGAAUGGUAAAAAAUAUGGUGAAUGUUUAUAUUUAAAGGUAUUACAGUAAGGACACAUUGCUGUGAAUCCUUCUCAAAAUAUCCUCCCUUGCUUCAAGCACACUUAUCCUAACCUCAUUCUUGCCACUUUCUGCAGCAGCUCUGGAGUCCUCUUCUCUGAAUGUCUCUGGUUGUACUGUCCUGGUUGCCUGGAUAUCUUGAAUUGAUCCACAACAUUGACCUCUCAAGGUCAGAUUGACUUUAGGGAAGAGCCAGGAGUUGCAGGGCAGCAGAUCCAGUGAUGGGGGUGGAUAGGACACACUGUAGUUUUUAUGAACCCUCCUUUCCACUGGAUGGCAGCGGCAGCAGCAUUCAGAGGAUUUUGAUCACAUCUCAUAAUUUCAGUGGGACUUGGCCUGUUAUUUAUGAUUUUUAAAACAGCAGGGAAACCGGGCUUAAAGGCGAGGUCAAGAGCCCGGAGAAGGCUUAGUUGGAAAUAACCCUACAGAUGACGGUGGGUCUGGUUUGGAAAAUCUCCACUGAUUACCUCGAUAUCACCACUCCCUUCCCCUCCUCCAGAGAACUUUGUCUUUAUUUUGUUCUUAAAUAUGCUGUGGUUUCUCUGAAUAAAUGAGUCACUAAAACGUUACUCUGUGAAACCCCUCCUGGGGAUUAGCCCACCCCCGCCAUGACUCAGCUUCAAGGCCACCCUGCUUCUCUGGCCAUGCCCGGCGCUCCGGGGAAGGUGUUCUUCCGCCCGGAAAGGAGGCCUGGGGAGUCUACCUCUGGCCCUCUCCCGAGGGGUGCUCAGAGCUUGCCUAGUCGGAACACAAAGCUAGAGCCGCCCUCUGACUAUUUUGUUAUAUGAAACAACAGAUUUCUUCAUCAUUUAAACCAUUUUGAGUUUAGGUUCCGCCUCUGCUAAAGCAAAUGGCACCAUCGCGAUUCCAGCUGGAAUAUGCUUGGGAAGGAAGCAGUGACACAAGUGUGUGAAUGUGUGACUUCCUGUCCUGGGUGAGGAAUGCUGAAGGACUUUGAGCCUCUCCACCUUAAUGCACUGCAGAGUUCGAAGCAGGUGCGAGGGCACAGGACUGGCUUCCAAGGACGGAAGAGGCUUCGGGUGCUCAGACCUGACAACGAGGGGCUGUCACUCACAUUUGGGAAUGGCGGAUCGGGCUGGGAUGCCUCCUUCCUCUUCGGCUGGGCUCAUUUCCUGCAGUGCUUUCUUUGCUGCCCUGGGAAAUCGUUCUGGGAUGCCUCCUUUUGCUGAUUUCUGUCUCUUUCAAAUCUCAAACUUCAAGAGUCUCCCAGCUGGCACCACGUUUAACUCUGAGAGUCACUCUCUAGUUUGGCACUUUGGGUGAGGGGCACUUGGCCAGGACUGACACACGACACCCGGAACACUUCACACUCACGCCAUGUGCCUGCAACUGCGCCUUCAGAAAUUCUCAGCGACUUCAUUUGCUUUUGGGGCUAAUCCUGCCCGGCACGGAGACCUGAUACUCUUGUGACACCGAGGAGCAAUCGGAAGUAGCAGCUGAUUUACCCAACGGUAAACCUCUUGAGCCCCGGCAGUCUGCCAAAAGAUUUGCUGCUCCAGUUUUAGUACAGGGGCUCAGUUACUUCAUGCAGUGCUCGGAGCGCAUCUGCCUUGGUCAAGCCGAGGCUCUUAGCUUUUAAAUGUUUAAUUAAGAUGAUCCUGAGAAGCUGUCAGUUUGAUCUGAGAAAUGAGACAGCAGUGGGUUCCAAUUUGGUGUUGCUUCUGGACUCAUCUAUUUGGAGAACUGUUCUUAGAUAUGUCAGUCGCCAUCGUGUGCACACCCCGGUACUUGUUUUCUCUUUGGCCUUAUUCUCUGCUUAUUUCUUGCAUACACCUUUUUUCCUUCUCUGAAAUUACUGUAAACUCUCAGAGGUCAGGGAAAAUAGCUGCUUUCUUUGCAACAGUGAAUAUAAGCAUUAAAAAAGACCAAGAUAAUGAAUCAGUUAUAAUGGUGGUGUUCAGUGCAGACAGGCAAGAUAGGCUUCAUGUAAACAGGAGGAGUUUCCAUUUCACACUUCAAGUAGUACUAUGCUUCGCACAUAGUAGCAUUGGGCAAAUAUUUAUUACAUCAGUGAAUUCACUUUAUAGGACACAGAAUCAGGGGAUUGAGAGGCAUAUCAAAGAAAUCACUACCAAGCCCUCUUUCUUAAAAACCUGUUUCCGGGCUGAUGAAAAUGAUCUCGUUUUAAAAAGACCAUAGACGUGCAGAGUGACUCAUUCCAACGCUUUGAAACACUCUUGUAAGAUACUUUCUUUUAUGUCCUCUCCUAGGUGAUGGGGAAAUUGAUGACACAACUCUAUUCAGAUACGCAAAAUGCUUCCAUGGUUUUCAAGGAGAGGAAAACAAAGCCUGGGAGACAGGAAGACAGCUGCUGAUGCCGCAUGUCCCUCUGUGUCGGACAUUUAGCUCAUCCGCAGCAUCUUUUUCCUUUUUCUCUCCUAAGGACGUGGACACGUGUCCUAGCCAUAGAGAGGAACACCUUACAGACGAGCAUGGCCUUCCAGACUGCCUGCCCUGCCCUGCCCUGCUCUCGCCCGUCGAGAGUACUGAAGCACCCUGCCUUCUACCUUCUAGCCUGGGCGCACCCGUCCUCAGUCCGAUGCCGGGAAGGAUGCCGGUUCGAUGGCCACCUUCCUCCCUGGACCUAAGUCCUCUGAGGUCAAGCUGUCUCCACCAGUCACUGCAGGACACCUGUGGCCACAUGAGGCCCGGCUCAGGAAGUCUCCCAGGUACCCAACCAAGAAAGGACAAGAGCCUUACCCUGUGGAAAUGUACUUCAACUUUUCCCACACUAUUUACCGGACACUUCAUUAGAGGCUCUCAAGCCUCAGAGAGGACUAGAAGCAUUCUGUAGAGGGUUGUCAUUAUCUUACUUUGCUGCUAAGAGACUGGAGCAAUGACUGGUUAAAACAAUUUGCCAGUGUCCACGCUGUGAGGUGGGAGUACAGCUUGGCGCACUGUCUCUCCUCCUGUCCUGUCACUGUCUCCCACAUGUGUGUUCUGGAAGUGCGCAGCACUGACAAGUCUGCAUCUCGGAGCACCUCUGAGUUUCUCCCCAUCCCCCGGAGAGUACUGCAGCGUCCACGCUGGCUCUUCCCAGGAUGUGUUCCUGCUUUGUCCACAGCAUGCUCAUAAAUAAACAAGUACCUUCGGGAGGGAUGGGAAACUUACCAUGGGGCCAGGAGGACCGUGGGGGCCUGGGGGGCCCGGUGGGCCUAUGAUCUGCGUAUCCAAAAAACAAACAUGGAUUUGGUUACUCCAUUUAGAUAAGGCAGGUCAGCCUGGGUCUUGUGCUCGGCUCUGCUAAGGCCAUUAACAGCCACCGCGAAAGAAAGACUGCAGGAAGUGAUGUUUGGUUUUCUGGGUUUAGAAAUUCCUUCAUGAGAGUCCAAUAGCUUAAAAAACACAGUUGUACGAAUGCCCAAAUGUAUUAAACAUACAUUAAAGGGAAAGAAGCAACUGACUACCAAGAAUGGCUAUAAUGCCACAACCACUGUGAAACUCCAAUAUUUCGCCAUGUGCCGACAGGGAGUCUGGAGAAAAGAAAGAAUAUAAGCUCUACUUUUCACAAAACUCUACCCAUAAGUGCUGUGGGAAAACUGCUGACAUUGUUUUCUUCUUGGAAUUCAACAGCCCUUUGGAAAACUGCUUCUGACCCGGGCAGCUGACACGCGGUGUCUCUCAACACGCGGUGUCUCUCACUGGGCAAGGGGACGGGCUGUCUUGGUGCUCACUCUGCCUGCUGCUGGCGCGCUAUGCCAUGGCUGGCCUGGGGAACUGCAACUCUGCCCGCGCGUUCCGGGAGCCGGGGUGUUCGGCCUGGGCACUUACGGAAGGACCUUGAGGGCCUGGCAGUCCGGAGUCUCCCUUUUCUCCUUUCAUCCCAUUGGCACCCUGCGAAUAACAAGCAGGAGGGCGGCAGGUCGGCAAAGGCAGCUCCAGUGUGUAAGGGACACUGAGCGUCCUCCCCAGCCGCACCCUUCUCUUCAGGUUUUAUAUGAUGAUGCACAAGAUGUAUAAAAGGACUUAUCUCCUUGUAUUUUAGCUUAAAAUAGCACUUACUAAAAUAUCCAGGAUUAUGGGUCAUAAAAUAGAUAAAAAGCUAGGCUGGACUUGAUUAAACUUACACAGUAUUAAAUAUAUUGGGUUAUAAAUGUUGUAUCUUUUAUGGUGGAAUUCAUUUCAAAUAGCAAAGUUAAACCCUUUAACUUCGUUUUCAUGGACAUUUAUUUAUUUACUUUCUUUAAAAAAGAUGUAGGGCAGGAAAGUUCACUACAUUUUAAAAAAUAGCUUCUAUAUUUCCCCUGCAAAUUCUCAGUAAAACUUGGGGAGGGGGGAAACCAUAAAAGCACUGUCUGAUAGCAUCAUGCACACAAGGAGAACACCUUAGAGAAUAAUUUGUCUUUAAUUGUUCUCUACAGAUAUCCUUUUUUUGAGAUAGUCUCGCUAUGAAGUUCAGGCUGCCCUUGAACUCACUAUGUAGCCCAGGCCGGCCUUAAAUUGCAGUGAUCCUCCUGCCUCAGCCUCCCAAGUGCUGGGAUUACAGGUGUGUGCCACAUCUGGCUUGUUCCUUAUUUUUUGAUUUAUCGUGAUAAAAUAAGCCAAAAAGAAAUGUUACCACCAUAUUAUGCAUACUAAAUCAAAGUGACCAGUUAUAUUUAUCUUACCAUCUUCUAAUGAAAACAAUUUAGGAAAGCAUGAGGGUUUACUUUCUAAUGCUUUUGCCUAUAUACUUUUCCAUUUUAGUUCCCCAGUUGGAGUAAUUAGCCACUAAUACUUCAAAUAGUUCAAAAUAAAAAUACUCUAGGAACCAUUGAUUGAGGUUCAGUUAAUAAUUCUUUUCUGGUUUUUAGGUUGUCUUAAAAAGAACAUACCCUAAGAAGUAUAAACAUACCGGUAAUCCAGGAAGCCCAAUUCCUCCUUUUUCACCUGGCACCCCUGGGUCCCCUGUGUCUCCCCUUUGAGCCUUUGAGUCCCUAAAAAUGACAAGAUUUGAAUGUAAGAAGUGCAGCGACCGACAGUUACAUUCAGGGAAAAGAGAAUAUAGAUCUGUUUUCUCAACAGGUGAAUUGAAUGCGGAGAUGACUGUGUUCAUGCUUAGGUAGAGCUGUUUCUUAAAAUCUGCACUGAAUCAAUAUUGAUUCCCCACGUAAGGAAGGGAUUUAAAUUCUAUUAAUCCAUUUAAAUAGGAAAAACACGAACGUAGGUUUUGACAUCACUUCUCCUGGUUUCAUGUUUUACUGGCAGCUAAUUCCAACUUAGCAGUCCUGAAAACAGUGUAACGGCUCUAAUUCUAGCAGUACAGUGUACAAUUUGAAUGAGAAUCUAGUGCUAGAACACAGGUCCAAACAGAGUUCUUCCCUACCUGCUUAUUCUAACUACACGCAGACUUCCAGCCAUCAGUUUUCAGUGGUCCAGGCUCCAGACAGGUAAAUCAUCUACACUAAAGCUCAACGAUGCUUAAAAUCACUUCAACUUUUCCACAGCGUUCUUAUUUUUCUAUCUCUGCGAAGCGAGCCGGGCUGUUUUUAUUUUCCUCUUACAGUGAGGAAAUAGACAAAUGUGCAUUUGGAGUGUUAAUUCUGAAUUGCGUAACUUGAGUACUGAAAUUAACUUCUCUGGUAACCACUUUCAUCGUGGGGAUCUCGGUAUGAGCAGCUGGCCUAGCCUUCAGAGAGGCCGCUCAUGCUCAUGUGGCACGGGGCCUGCAGGCAGCACAAGGGACAGGAACACGUAUGUCCCUUGUGAUCCGAGCCUAUCUUGGGAACUAGUUCAGAACCGUGCAGUGGGUGGGUGAGUGGGGUGCUGCCUGAAAAGGUGGAUCCAUCCUCUCGGCUAAUCAGACCCUUGUGAUGGAAACAGGUGACACGCCCAACUCCCAGAAGGGCCCAAAGCUUAUAGAAAGACCCGAUUAUCGUGUAUGUGGGGCUGUGUAGUGAGUACGGCAUUACACGUGUCAGCUUAUUUAUAAUGACAGCAGGAGGGGUCACACAGCCAGAGCUUUAGAUCCUCAUGUGAUCUUGGUGAGAUAGCAAAUCCAUUAUUUUUUAUCAUACAUUCUUUAGUGUGGCACAUGACUUGAUGUACAACUCUGAUAUUAAAAAUAACACUUCUCAUAAACUUCUUGCCUGAUAGUUUCUCCCAAGGAAUGCAUGUUCACUGGCUGGACCAAGAAUCCCCUCGUAGCCAGGUGUGGUGGCCCAGGCCUCUCCUCCCAGCACUGUGAGAGGCUGAGGCAGAGACACCAGGGCAAGCCCAGCCCAGGGAACUGAAUGACUUAGCGAGAUCCUAAGUCAAAGUGAAAACCAGGAAAAGGGCUGGGGAUGCAGCUCUGUGUGGAGAGCUCUGAAUUCAAUUCCCAGUGCCAGAAAAAAGAAAAAAAAUAAAGAACCCCUUUGAUAUCUUAUAAUCUCUGUGAUUUUAGCCAUUGCUGGCAUAAAUAAGGGAAUCUCAGAAAACAUUAAACAUCUUUAAAUACUCCUUUGAUUCUGAAUGUUGUCCACGUCCUCCUAGGAAGAGUCUUAAGAGGCAGAAGGCACCCAAACCACAGCCCUUGUCCCACGACAGCCUAGGCUGUGUCUUGGUUCAGGCAGAAUUUCCAACAAGUGCUAAAGGGAACAUGUGCUGGAGAUACAUGCAGCCUGCAAAGCCCAAGACAUGAACCUCUGCCUAGGGGAGCCCCGAGGUAACAUACUCUGUAGGACUCUAAAUGCCCCACUUGCUCUGUCUUUUCUAAGGAUCUAGGCAAUUAGUUAUGACCUCUACUUGGGAAAGAAAACAUUGUCAGAAAUACACAUUAGCAGUACCUUGUUUUUUAGUAAUUCAUCCCCAACUUCAGUCUGGAGUCACCUGUACUCACUGACAUUCUUACUAAGUUGGUAACGAUGGUGCAGGUUUAUUAAAAUGCAGAGGAGUCACUGGUAGAUUGGUGGGAGAUACUGAGAACAAACCAAAGUACCAUGUGGCUUUGUGUUUCUGCAAAUAAAAACUAAAGUCAAACUUGAGACCAAUUGCUUUGUCGAGUUCAUGUGGCCUCCAGAACAGAUGGCGGAAGAGAGGAUAUCACGUCAAUGUGCAUGGAUGACAUUUUGGCUUCAAACCUAGGAUGAAAGUAGUGAUCAAUAAUGAUAUUUUAAAUAAUGGUAUAUAGGCUUGAAAAUUACCUGCUCUCCAUCAACUCCUGGGUUCCCUGGAGACCCUGCCUCGCCCUGUUAAAAUACAAAAAGGGGAAUGGGGAAAAAGUAAGAACCAGGGGGCCGGGAUUUAGUUCAGAGGUGCCACUGCCUGCCUCGCAAGCGUAAGGUCCUGAGUUCGAUCCCCAGUACCAAAAAAAGAACCAAGAUAUAUCAUGUCCAGGUACAAAUUCCCAAUGAUGAAUGUGAUCAUGAUAUACACCUACAAUGUACCACUAAACUUAAUGAACAAAAAAUAUAAACAAUAGCUCACUUCCAUUUAUUACCGCUAUUAUGAUACGCUGAAGAAAAUGAUGCUAAUGGUUAAAAGUACAAUUUGAGUUUUAACAAAUGCCCAAGAAUACUCUUUUGGGACCUAGCCUCACUAAGUGAGCUGGUGAUCAUCUUCCUUGAUAAGACGUGGAUGUAGCUAAGAUUUAGUGCUUUUAUUUUUUCCUCCAUGUGAGAUGCAGGCUAGAAAAAUGGUCAAAGAAAACUGAUAAAAAUAAUUUCAUGGCUGAUCAUAUCCUAUAAGAACACCUAUUGACUCAAGUUCAUUUUUUUGUACAUCUGAAAUAUGUAUGAUUUUUCUUAUUUUUAGUAAAAACUAAGAAUGAAAUGCAAG